rnacentral:miRNA from 1 species
UACGAUUCUCCGGGUUUAGC